AAUAGAUACCCAGGUAGUCCACGCUGUAAACGAUGGGUACUAGAUGUUGCAGGAAUUGACCCCUGCAGUGUCGACGCCAACGCAUUAAGUACCCCGCCUGGGAAGUACGGCCGCAAGGUUAAAACUCAAAGGAAUUGACGGGGGCCCGCACAAGCGGUGGAGCAUGUGGUUUAAUUCGAUGCAACGCGAAGAACCUUACCUGGGUUUGACAUCCCCAGACAGCCCUAGAGAUAGGGUUUCCUCUUCGGAGGCUGGGAGACAGGUGCUGCAUGGCUGUCGUCAGCUCGUAUCGUGAGAUGUCGGGUUAAGUCCCUUAACGAGCGCAACCCUUAUCCCUAGUUGCCAUCAUUCAGUUGGGCACUCUAAGGAGACCGCCGGCGUUAAGCCGGAGGAAGGCGGGGAUGACGUCAAGUCCUCAUGGCCUUUAUAUCCAGGGCUACACACGUGCUACAAUGGCGCAUACAGAGGGUAAGGCCAACCCGGUAAGGGGGGAGCUAAUCUCAGAAAGUGCGUCUCAGUUCGGAUUGAAGU
rnacentral:rRNA from 1 species